rnacentral:rRNA from 1 species
GAAUAGCCUCCCGAAAGGGAGAUUAAUACCGCAUAAGAUUGUAGCUUCGCAUGAAGUAGCAAUUAAAGGAGCAAUCCGCUAUGAGAUGGGCCCGCGGCGCAUUAGCUAGUUGGUGAGGUAACGGCUCACCAAGGCGACGAUGCGUAGCCGACCUGAGAGGGUGAUCGGCCACAUUGGGACUGAGACACGGCCCAGACUCCUACGGGAGGCAGCAGUGGGGAAUAUUUCAAAGGGGGGGAAACCCUGAUGCAGCAA